AAAGAAACCAACCGGGAUUGCCUCAGUAACGGCGAGUGAAGCGGCAAGAGCUCAAAUUUGAAAUCUGGCCCCUCCGGGGUCCGAGUUGUAAUUUGCAGAGGAUGCUUCGGGUGCGGCCCCUGUCUAAGUGCCCUGGAACGGGCCGUCAGAGAGGGUGAGAAUCCCGUCUUGGGCAGGGUGCCCGUGCCCGUGUGAAGCUCCUUCGACGAGUCGAGUUGUUUGGGAAUGCAGCUCAAAAUGGGUGGUAAAUUUCAUCUAAAGCUAAAUACCGGCCGGAGACCGAUAGCGCACAAGUAGAGUGAUCGAAAGAUGAAAAGCACUUUGAAAAGAGAGUUAAACAGCACGUGAAAUUGUUGAAAGGGAAGCGCUUGCAACCAGACUCGGCCUCGGGGUUCAGCCAGCAUUCGUGCUGGUGUACUUCCCCGGGGCCGGGCCAGCGUCGGUUUGGGCGGCCGGUCAAAGGCCCCAGGAAUGUAUCGUCCUCCGGGACGUCUUAUAGCCUGGGGUGCAAUGCGGCCAGCCUGGACCGAGGAACGCGCUUCGGCACGGACGCUGGCGUAAUGGUCGCAAACGAC
rnacentral:rRNA from 2 species